rfam:Gillisia sp. Hel1_33_143 genome assembly, chromosome: I
UCAUACUUAUAUUUGGCGAAAUGAAAAAUUUAACUGUACAUACUUGGUGGUGGAAUAAUUUACGUCAAAACGUCGUGAACUAACACUCCUAUAGUAUAAUAUUAUAUACAAAAAGGCUUGUC